rnacentral:rRNA from 1 species
CCAGUCGAACGAGAACGGGUUUAGUUUACUAAACUGUCAGCUAAGUGGCGCACGGGUGAGUAAUGUAUAGUUAACCUGCCCUCUAGAAAGGAAUAACAGUUGGAAACGACUGCUAAUGCCCUAUAUGCCCAUAAUACAUAAGUAUGCUGGGGAAACGCUUUAGUGCUAGAGGAUGGGACUGUAUGGUAUCAGAUAGUUGGUGAGGUAAUGGCUCACCAAGUCAAUGACGCCUAACUGGUUUGAGAGGAUGAUCAGUCACACUGGAACUGAGACACGGUCCAGACUCCUACGGGAGGCAGCAGUGGGGAAUAUUGCACAAUGGAGGAAACUCUGAUGCAGCAACGCCGCGUGGAGGAUGACACUUUUCGGAGCGUAAACUCCUUUUAUAUAGGAAGAUAAUGACGGUACUAUAUGAAUAAGCACCGGCUAACUCCGUGCCAGCAGCCGCGGUAAUACGGAGGGUGCAAGCGUUACUCGGAAUCACUGGGCGUAAAGAGCGUGUAGGCGGGUUAUUAAGUCAGAAGUGAAAUCCUAUGGCUCAACCAUAGAACUGCUUUUGAAACUGGUAACCUAGAGUAUGGGAGAGGUAGAUGGAAUUUCUGGUGUAGGGGUAAAAUCCG